rnacentral:rRNA from 1 species
CAGCAGCCGCGGUAAUACGAAGGGUGCAAGCGUUAAUCGGAAUUACUGGGCGUAAAGCGUGCGUAGGCGGUGAGUUAAGUCUGCUGUGAAAUCCCCGGGCUCAACCUGGGAAUGGCAGUGGAUACUGGCUCGCUAGAGUGUGUCAGAGGAUGGUGGAAUUCCCGGCGUAGCGGUGAAAUGCGUAGAGAUCGGGAGGAACAUCAGUGGCGAAGGCGGCCAUCUGGGACAACACUGACGCUGAGGCACGAAAGCGUGGGGAGCAAACAGGAUUAGAUACCCCCGUAGUCCCUGUCUCUUAUAU